rnacentral:misc_RNA from 1 species
UUAAGUUCAGCGGGUAUCCCUACCUGAUCCGAGGUCAACCUUUAAUGAAUUGGUUUGUUUAACGGCGUGACCGAAACGAGCACCUUUAGCGAAUAGUUUCCACAACGCUGAGGGACGAUUCAAACCAGCCGGAAGAUUUGAGGCGCGCGGCUAACCGCGUCGCCCAAUACCAAGCGAGGCUUGAGUGGUGUAAUGACGCU